ACCUGCCCUUGAGACGGGUAUAAUCCCGGGAAACUGGGGCUAAUACCCGAUAGGUGAAGAUGCCUGGAAUGGUUCAUCAUCUAAAGGACGUUGAGACCAUGUUUCACAAUGUCGCUCAAGGAUGGGGCCGCGGCCGAUCAGGUAGUUGGCGAGGUAACUGCUCACCAAGCCUUUGACCGGUACGGGCCGUGAGAGCGGGAGCCCGGAGAUGGGCACUGAGAUAAGGGCCCAGGCCCUAUGGGGCGCAGCAGUUGCGAAACCUCCGCAAUGCGCGAAAGCGUGACGGGGUUACCCCAAGUGCCAUCCGCUGAGGACGGCUUUUCUUUGGUGUGAUGAGCCGAAGGAAUAAGGGGAGGGCAAGACUGGUGUCAGCCGCCGCGGUAAUACCAGCUCCCCGAGUGGUAGGGACAAUUAUUGGGCUUAAAGCGUCCGUAGCCGGCUUGACAAGUCUUUCGUUAAAUCCAGCGACCUAAUCGUUGGGCUGCGGGAGAUACUUUCAGGCUAGGGGACGGGAGAGGCCGAUGGUAUUCUUGGGGUAGGGGUGAAAUCCUAUAAUCCCAGGAGGACCACCAGUGGCGAAAGCGAUCGGCUAGAACGCGCUCGACGGUGAUGGACGAAAGCUGGGGGAGCGAACCGGAUUAGAUACCCGGGUAGUCCCAGCUGUAAACGAUGCGAGCU
rnacentral:rRNA from 1 species